AUUGAACGCUGGCGGCAGGCCUAACACAUGCAAGUCGAACGGUAACAGGAAGCAGCUUGCUGCUUCGCUGACGAGUGGCGGACGGGUGAGUAAUGUCUGGGAAACUGCCUGAUGGAGGGGGAUAACUACUGGAAACGGUAGCUAAUACCGCAUAACGUCGCAAGACCAAAGAGGGGGACCUUAGGGCCUCUUGCCAUCGGAUGUGCCCAGAUGGGAUUAGCUAGUAGGUGGGGUAACGGCUCACCUAGGCGACGAUCCCUAGCUGGUCUGAGAGAAUGACCAGCCACACUGGAACUGAGACACGGUCCAGACUCCUACGGGAGGCAGCAGUGGGGAAUAUUGCACAAUGGGCACAAGCCUGAUGCAGCCAUGCCGCGUGUAUGAAGAAGGCCUUCGGGUUGUAAAGUACUUUCAGCGGGGAGGAAGGGAGUAAAGUUAAUACCUUUGCUCAUUGACGUUACCCGCAGAAGAAGCACCGGCUAACUCCGUG
rnacentral:rRNA from 1 species